UACAGAGGUCUCAAGCGUUGUUCGGAUUCAUUGGGCGUAAAGGGUGUGUAGGUGGCGCCGUAAGUCGGGCGUGAAAUCUCGGGCUUAACUCCGAAACUGCAUUCGAUACUGCGGUGCUUGAGGACUGGAGAGGAGACUGGAAUUCAUGGUGUAGCAGUGAAAUGCGUAGAGAUCAUGAGGAAGACCAGUGGCGAAGGCGGGUCUCUGGACAGCUUCCUGACACUGAGAACACGGAAGGGCCAGGGGAGCAAACGGG
rnacentral:rRNA from 1 species